rnacentral:rRNA from 1 species
UCCUACGGGAGGCAGCAGUGGGGAAUAUUGCACAAUGAGCGAAAGCUUGAUGCAGCGAGCCGCGUGGGGGAUGAAGGCCUUCGGGUUGUAAACCUCUUUCAGCUCUGACGAAGCUGCCUGGUUUUCUGGGUGGUGACGGUAGGGGCAGAAGAAGCGCCGGCCAACUACGUGCCAGCAGCCGCGGUAAGACGUAGGGCGCAAGCGUUGUCCGGAUUUAUUGGGCGUAAAGAGCUCGUAGGCGGCCUGUCGCGUCAACCGUGAAAUCCCGUGGCUUAACUGCGGGCGUGCGGUUGAUACGGGUGGGCUAGAGUUCGGUAGGGGAGACUGGAAUUCCUGGUGUAGCGGUGAAAUGCGCAGAUAUCAGGAGGAACACCGGUGGCGAAGGCGGGUCUCUGGGCCGAUACUGACGCUGAGGAGCGAAAGCGUGGGGAGCGAACAGGAUUAGAUACCCUGGUAGUCCACGCCGUAAACGUUGCUAGGUGUGGGGGACCUUCCCGGUCUUCUGUGCCGUAGCUAACGCAUUAAGCGCCCCNCNG